rnacentral:lncRNA from 1 species
CCGCUGUACUGGGCAAAAUUGGAAUCCUGGCGAACGGAACCGCUCGAGUACGCGUUGAAGGCUGGCUCCUCGUUAUUGCUGUGACCAGAGUAUCCCCUGAACGACGUGGGCGUUGCACGUGUAGAUAAAACGAAGCAGUCACGAGGCUUUAUUAAUACGUACUGUUGAGAGGUGGCUCCGCAUUCACAACUAUCAUACAGCAAAUUAUCACUGCAUUCUAAAAAGAUUGACAUCUACUAUUACUGAUAUGUCUACUUACUAGCAACAUGCUGACUCUCAUGACUCGAGGAAAGCUCAACGUCUACCGCGCAAGAACUGAUGGAUCUUUGUUGCCUACCAAAAUGGAACUACACACAUAUUGGCUGGCAAAAGCGGUGUUUUCUGUUUUAUACCCCCAGCGACCCACUCCCUCGCUUGACGAAAAGGUAAAAGCGAUCUCGGUGCGCACAUACUGAUGUGACAUUGGUCGGGAUCCGACCAUACAGAGCGGAGAGAAACGAGUCAACCUGAUUUAGCUCUUCACUUUUACAGGGAAAGCAAUGGGUCGCCUCUCUGCACGACUAUGCGCGCGAUGAACUACGGGAAACAGUAGUAUAUUUGUGACCUACCUAUCUACACCACAGGGUCCUAUGAAACGGAUCUACGAGGAGCCGUUCAUAGCUUUAUUAUAAUAAUUAGCUGUAUAUCACGGUGCUUUACAUCACAAUGAGAUUGCGUGGCACAGUAACCGCGUCGCGCAUGAGAACAGACAUUUCCUUGGUCACGCUCGUGACACGAUACUUUGCAUACUUUGCUUUAUAAUUGCCACUGUCAUCAAUAUGCAAUACCUGAAAGUUAAUUGGUGGCCUUCAGCACGUGCCAUUUCCGAUCUUAAGAAUGUCGCUAUAUUUAACAGUGAUGAAAAAUGAGACCUUGCAGUGCGAUUAAAAUAAUUUCUUGUUAAAAAUUUACUGAUUUUAAUUUUGUCGAAUGAUAUCACCACGCGAUAUCACAUUAACUGCGAAUCGUGUGAUCGCGGAUUUAAUCUUCCGCGAAUAUCUACUAGAUACGGAAAUUUUGAGUUGGACUCAUUGAAAUUCGUGAGCGGCGACAGAUAUUUUAGUCGUAUUUUGCAUACGCACGUAAAUCGAGAGUCCUGCCUGAAUAACAAUGCUGCUAUGUAGAAAAGAAAGUUUUUCGUUGUUCCCUUAAGUGUAACAAAUCUAACGUGAGAAUUUUUAUUUCUAGCGGGUUGCAACUUUUACCAUUUUUCUUUAGAAAGCGUCACAUCUCAACCCAACGUUUAAUCUUCUUUUCAUUAUCUUCACUGGACGACGCUUUAAUUAAUGCUUUAUAUUAAAAAUUCUUAAUACAGAGUUCUACUUUAAUCAAGAAAUAUUAUAUGUCAAAUUAUGUAACAUUGAUAGCAUUUCUCUUUAAUAAUAUCGCAAGCACGCAAUUACUUAAUACGAGAUCGAAAAAUAGGAUACAUUUAUGAGUAAUCUCGGAACGAUGCGCAAAUGCAUACAAUUAUCAAAGUAGGCGUGUAUCGUGCUCAUAUAUCCAGCUUGAAAGUUCGCAAGCGAAGCAAAGAAAAUUACGAUCCCUUAAUCGCAGAAGUCGGAAUAGUACUUGACGUAAAAUUGUACUUAUAUGCAUCUACUCUGCGUUUACAGUACUGUCAGCUGUCCUUUUUAAUGCUUUCUACUUUCUGCGCACGCACGUGCAUGUUUUCAUUCAAGCGCGUAGUGAUCCCAAGUUAAUCAGAUGUAUUUCAAUAGAUGCUUGAACAGCAGUGACUCAGGCACCUGAAUAUAAAUGUCAAUGUCUCCAUCGGUUUGCAUGUGUUCUACUCGGUGUUAGCACGCAGAUAACAUGUGAUGUAAAAUGGAAAAAAAACGAUAGAAGUACAUUAAAUUUAAAAUCGACACGAAACAAAA